rnacentral:misc_RNA from 1 species
UCUCCGUUGGUGAACCAGCGGAGGGAUCAUUAUAGAGUUUUCUAAACUCCCAACCCAUGUGAACUUACCUUUUGUUGCCUCGGCAGAAGUUAUAGGUCUUCUUAUAGCUGCUGCCGGUGGACCACACCAAAACUCUUGUUGUUACAGUGUCAUUCUGAAUUUAAAAACUUAAUCAGUUAAAACUUUCAACAACGGAUCUCUUGGUUCUGGCAUCGAUGAAGAACGCAGC